rnacentral:tRNA from 1 species
UCUAAUAUGGCAGAUUAGUGCAUUAGAUUUAAACUCUAAAUAUAAAAUAUAAUUUAUUUUUAUUAGAA